rnacentral:rRNA from 1 species
UUAAUGGAGAGUUUGAUCCUGGCUCAGGACGAACGCUGGCGGCGUGCCUAAUACAUGCAAGUCGAGCGGGGUUACUUAGAAGCUUGCUUCUAAGUAACCUAGCGGCGGACGGGUGAGUAACACGUAGGCAACCUGCCCACAAGACAGGGAUAACUACCGGAAACGGUAGCUAAUAC